GAUGAACGCUGGCGGCGUGCCUAAUACAUGCAAGUCGAGCGAACAGACGAGGAGCUUGCUCCUCUGACGUUAGCGGCGGACGGGUGAGUAACACGUGGAUAACCUACCUAUAAGACUGGGAUAACUUCGGGAAACCGGAGCUAAUACCGGAUAAUAUAUUGAACCGCAUGGUUCAAUAGUGAAAGACGGUUUUGCUGUCACUUAUAGAUGGAUCCGCGCCGCAUUAGCUAGUUGGUAAGGUAACGGCUUACCAAGGCAACGAUGCGUAGCCGACCUGAGAGGGUGAUAGGCCACACUGGAACUGGGACACGGUCAAGACUCCUAAGGGAGGCAGCAGUAGGGAAUCUUCCGCAAUGGGCGAAAGCCUGACGGAGCAACGCCGCGUGAGUGAUGAAGGUCUUCGGAUCGUAAAACUCUGUUAUUAGGGAAGAACAAAUGUGUAAGUAACUAUGCACGUCUUGACGGUACCUAAUCAGAAAGCCACGGCUAACUACGUG
rnacentral:rRNA from 1 species